AGCCGUGGGGGAGGGGAAAGGGCGCGCGGCCUCGGAUGCGCAGACCCUGGGCCGGCGACUCGGGGACCCUGCUCCCUCUUAGCUAAAAAUGACGUCGGCGUUCAGCUCCUCCAACCUCACGUGGACAGGCGAGGGAACCGAGACCCAGAGAGGGCAGGGGACUUUGGCAAACUCACACAGCCCACCGCAGGCAACUGGAACUGAAACCCAGGACUCCGUCUCUUGCCAGUGAAAGUUAUGUUAGGAAGCAGUGAGGGGUCUAAAGCAGUAUGAAAGGCAAAGAGAAAAGGUGAUUGUUCCCUCUUGAAUGGCCCUUGGAAGCUGAGUAUCUGGAUUCACCCUCCCUAGGGAAUUUCCCGAUUGUCUUGCAGGCUUACACACUCAUCAAGAUGACAAAAAUAAUGACAGUAACACUUAUGUGGAACUUGACUUUUUCCCAGGUGCUGCUCUAAGCAUUUACUGUGUUUGUUUUACAGGAAGGAAGACUGUACACAGAGAAUAAAUAACUUGGCCAAGCCAUUCAGCUAGGAAGUUGUAGAUCCUAAAUUAAGAGUUCAAGGUCUUAAUGGCUACUCUAUGCGGCCUCUCAUAGUCUUUUCAAGGGUUUUGGAGAAGAAUAAAAGAUCAGGCAUUGCUUUUGAACUCAGUCAUCUUUUCCCCCUUGCCCACUAGUUGCUUGUGAUACAUCAGUAUCCUCACUCACCCCCAACUCCAGAGGCUGAAACUAACUCUCCUCCUCCCUCUUCCAACUGCUGAGGAAGAUGAGUCAAUGGUGUUACUGGACCCUGUGAACUGAUGCUGUGAAGAGAGGCCAUUUAACACGGACUACGGGGAAUGGUGCCACAGGGGGCUCAGUGCUGCCCUUCACUCUCAGCAUUUUGCUCACUCAGCAUUGAUGACAGGAUGUCCCAAAAGUAACAAAAGAUGGGAGCCAGUCCUCUCAUAGCUGUUUCUUCAAUCAUCCCAUCAACAGCUCUUCAUUUAUUGAACUACCUUCCUUUUCCAAAGAGGUAAUGCUGAGAUCAGUCAGAAAGGCUUUCUGAGAAAACUGGCUUGGAUUUCUGGGUCUGUUGCAGUCAAUUCAAGAUGAACUGGCUUGUAUCAAUGAAGCGCUCAAUGCAGUUCACAAAACAGGCCUCAGCCCGACUGUCCAACUUUGGCCCAGGCUUGUCCAUGCACUUCUCCCAACAAAGUUCAGUCAUCUGGUGCACCAGCUGCUGGAAGCGCUGCUUUUGAGUCUCUACCUCAAUGAAAAUGCUGCAACUGCGGGUCCACUGCACCCAAACCCGCCGCAGAGGAAGAGCAGGAGGAAUCCAUCCCAGGACAACCAUGCUUGCAGAGACGAACUCCGCACCAACCUUCACGUGUCUCCACGACCUAGUUAAUCAAUUUAAAAUGAGGUCACUAGGGUGGGCCCCAAUCCAAUAUGACUGAUAACUUUAUAAAAAGGAGAGAUUUGGAUACAGAAAGAGACAGAGUGAAAACCAUGUGAAGAAACAUAGGAAAAGAUGGCAGCUACAAGCCAAGGAGAAGCUUGCAGUGUGUAUUCAUCUGUUCUCAUGCUGUUAAUAAAGACAUACCUGAGACUGGGUAAUUUAUAAAGGAAA
rnacentral:lncRNA from 1 species